rnacentral:rRNA from 1 species
GCUACCACGCGAGUGGAUGCCAAUCCCUAAAACCCCUCUCAGUUCGGACUGGAGUCUGCAACCCGACUCCACGAAGCUGGAUUCGCUAGUAAUCGCGCAUCAGCCACGGCGCGGUGAAUACGUUCCCGGGCCUUGUACACACCGCCCGUCAAGCCAUGGGAGCCGGGGUACCUGAAGUGCGUAACCGCGAGGAUCGCCCUAGGGUAAAACUGGUGACUGGGGCUAAGUCGUAACAAGGUACC